AAUAAGCUAUUUAAGAGCGUAAGGUGGAUGCCUUGGCUCUCAGAGGCGAUGAAGGACGUGAUAAGCUGCGAUAAGCUACGGGGAUUGGCACACACAAUUUGAUCCGUAGAUUUCCGAAUGGGGCAACCCACUAUAUUGAAGAUAUAGUAUCCGUUAAGGAAGCAAACCCAGGGAACUGAAACAUCUAAGUACCUGGAGGAAUAGAAAACAAAAGUGAUUCCGCUAGUAGUGGCGAGCGAACGCGGAACAGCCCAAACCAAAAUUGUUUCGGCAAUUUUGGGGUUGUAGGACCACGACAUUGAAUGUUUAAUGAAUUAGAAUUCUUUGGAAAAAGAA
rnacentral:rRNA from 1 species